UACGUAGGGGGCAAGCGUUGUCCGGAAUCAUUGGGCGUAAAGCGCGUGUAGGCGGCCCGAUAAGUCCGCUGUGAAAGUCCAGGGCUCAACCCUGGGAUGCCGGUGGAUACUGUCGGGCUCGAGUCCGGAAGAGGAGUGUGGAAUUCCUGGUGUAGCGGUGAAAUGCGCAGAUAUCAGGAGGAACACCAAUGGCGAAGGCAGCACUCUGGGACGUGACUGACGCUGAGACGCGAAAGCGUGGGGAGCAAACGGG
rnacentral:rRNA from 1 species